AAUGAACGUUGGCGGCGUGGAUUAGGCAUGCAAGUCGAGCGAGAACCGUAGCAAUACGGGGACAGCGGCGAAAGGGAGAGGAACACGUGGAUACCUACCCUCGGGUUCAGGAUAGCUGUGGGAAACUACAGGUAAUACUGAAUAACAUCUCCGGAUCAAAGGUGUGAUUCCGCCGGAGGAUGGGUCCGCGUCCUAUUAGCUAGUUGGUGAGGUAACGGCUCACCAAGGCAAAGAUGGGUACGGGGUGUGAGAGCAUGCCCCCGCUCACUGGGACUGAGACACUGCCCAGACACCUACGGGUGGCUGCAGUCGAGAAUCUUCGGCAAUGGGCGCAAGCCUGACCGAGCGACGCCGCGUGCGGGAUGAAGGCCUUCGGGUUGUAAAUCGCUGUCAGAGGGGAGGAAAUAUCGGUGGGUUCUCCCACCGGUUUGACCUAUCCUCAGAGGAAGGACGGGCUAAGUUCGUGCCAGCCGCCGCAGUAAAAC
rnacentral:rRNA from 1 species